rnacentral:lncRNA from 1 species
UUUACAGGCUGCACCAUUUCUUCUAAAGGGAGGAGAGUUUCUAAUACAUAUGAUGUUCAAUUUGAUUUUAUAUCCUUCCAAGUUCACUUUUUAAAAUAAUAAUCUCUGCCUGUUGUCCUUAAUUUAGAUCUACUUUUUGCCUAUUUUAAUACAAUAACAAGCGUUGCCCUCCAAAUGGCAGAAUUAGACUGUUUAUUGAAGUGCAUCAGCUGCCUGCCAUUUGAGCUAUGUUCUUAAUAGUUGUGCCACUAAGAUGUGAUUGUUUGCAUUGGUUGCUUUGGAUUCACUAGGAUAGAGGAGAGAGUGGUGGAAGGAUGACUUGAGCAUCAGGAAGUU